ensembl:lncRNA
ACAACAAAGGUGCUUCGAAGGAGCUCCCAAAUAGCAUAAAUAGAGCCUUGGCGACACUCUACACCAGUGCACUCCAAAGUUGGUCCGUCUAAAGUAUCGCUGAGUCUAAAAUACUGCUGAAAGUCAACCGUUAUUAAAUAUGUCUCACGUUUAUGGUAGAGCUAACGAUCACGUUUCCCGUGCAAAGGUUUGCACAACUGAAGAAUUGCGGGCUGAAAAAGAAGCCACAAAAAAGGAGAAAAAAUGCGUCAGGUUUGCAACGCUCCCAUCACUCCACAACGGCUGGGAGCACACAAUCCGACCAACGACAGAGAGAGUGCGGGACGUACAAAGGCUAUCUUUUACGGUGUGGUCUGCUGGGGCGGCAACAUCUCUGCUGCAACAGGAAGAAACUGAACAGGCUGAUUCGAAGGGCCAGCUCUGUUGUAGGAUGCCCUCUGGACUCAGUGGAGGUGGUGAGUGACAGGAGAAUGUUUGAAUGGUUAAGCUUUCAUCCCUGUUGGACAACAUCUCCCACUCCAUGCAGGAGAAUCUGACAGCUCCUUCAGUGGCAGGCUGCGGCACCCACGGAGAGGUUUCGCAGGUCUUUCCUCCCCACUGCUAUCAGACUCUACAACAAAGACUUUUGCAGCUGAUCAAACCCACACGUGCAAUAAGACUGCUAUAAGUGC